rnacentral:rRNA from 1 species
GACGAACGUUGGCGGCGUGCUUAAUACAUGCAAGUCAACUGAAGCAGUGGUAGCAAUAUCGCUGUGGAGGUGGCGCACGGGUGAGUAACACGUAGGUAAUCUGCCUUCAGGUCUGGCAUAACUCCGGGAAACCGGGGCUAAUAGCAGAUGAUGCAGCGGCCCGACAUCGAGACAGUUGUUAAAGCUAUGGCGCCUGAAGAUGAGCCUGCGUCUGAUUAGCUAGUUGGCGGGGUAACGGCCCACCAAGGCAACGAUCAGUAGCUGGUCUGAGAGGAUGAUCAGCCACACUGGAACUGAGACACGGUCCAGACUCCUACGGGAGGCAGCAGUAAGGAAUAUUGCUCAAUGGGAGAAAUCCUGAAGCAGCAACGCCGCGUGAGGGACGAAGGGCUUUUGCUUGUAAACCUCUGUAGUGAGAGAAAAAAAUCCCAAUCUUUGGGACAUGAUGGUAUCUCAAAAGUAAGCCCCGGCUAACUACGUG